CCUACGGGAGGCUGCAGUGGGGAAUAUUGCACAAUGGGGGAAACCCUGAUGCAGCGACGCCGCGUGAGGGAAGAAGGACUUCGUUAUGUAAAGCUCUAUCAGCAGGGAAGAAAAUGACGGUACCUGAGUAAGAACCCCCGGCUAACUACGUGCCAGACGCCGCGGUAAUACGUAGGGGGCAAGCGUUAUCCGGAUUUACUGGGUGUAAAGGGGGCGUAGACGGCAGUGCAAGUCUGGAGUGAAAGGCGGGGGCUCAACCCCCGGACGGCUCUGGAAACUGUACGGCUGGAGUGCAGGAGAGGUAAGUGGAAUUCCUAGUGUAGCGGUGAAAUGCGUAGAUAUUAGGAGGAACACCAGUGGCGAAGGCGGCUUACCGGACUGUAACUGACGUUGAGGCUCGAAAGCGUGGGGAGCAAACAGGAUUAGAUACCCGAGUAGUC
rnacentral:rRNA from 1 species